rnacentral:tRNA from 1 species
AUAGCUCAGUUGGUAAAUCAUCUGCCUGCAAUGCAGGAGACCCAGGUUUGAUUCCUGGU